rnacentral:rRNA from 1 species
UACGUAGGGUGCGAGCGUUAAUCGGAAUUACUGGGCGUAAAGCGUGCGCAGGCGGUUCGUGAUGUCUGGUGUGAAAGCCCCGGGCUUAACCUGGGAAUUGCAUUGGAAACUAGCGGGCUGGAGUGUGGCAGAGGGGGGUGGAAUUCCACGUGUAGCAGUGAAAUGCGUAGAGAUGUGGAGGAAUACCGAUGGCGAAGGCAGCCCCCUGGGAUAACACUGACGCUCAUGCACGAAAGCGUGGGGAGCAAACAGG